rnacentral:lncRNA from 1 species
GUUACUUAGCAACAGAUAACUGGAAUAGUGCUCUUGAAACAGGGUCUCGCCAUGUUGCCCAGGCUGGUCUCAAACUCCUGGACUCAAGCAAUCCUCCCACCUCAGCCUCCCAAAGUGCUGGGAUUACAGGCAUGAGUCACCACAGCCAGCCCAGUACCUGCUUUUAAGGAGCUCAUACCGACCAGAGUUCAAGCAAAAAAAAAAAAAAAAAAAAAAGCUCUUCUACAGGUCUACUUAAACUUUGAAAGAUGAGAUUGUUCAAAAAUGACACGAGAAAAUCACCCAUCACCACUAAGUUAAAGACUUGAAUAUGUGAGAGUUCCAGAGCCUCAAACUCCUACUACAGUCACUGAUCCAUAACAUUUUCCUCUUGCAAUGGACUCCACGCCAAAGUAGCUCAGUCUUGC